GACGAACGCUGGCGGCGUGCUUAACACAUGCAAGUCGAACGGAAAGGCCCUGCUUGCAGGGUACUCGAGUGGCGAACGGGUGAGUAACACGUGGGUGAUCUGCCCUGCACUUCGGGAUAAGCCUGGGAAACUGGGUCUAAUACCGGAUAGGAGCCAUUUUUAGUGUGAUGGUUGGAAAGUUUUUUCGGUGUAGGAUGAGCUCGCGGCCUAUCAGCUUGUUGGUGGGGUAAUGGCCUACCAAGGCGGCGACGGGUAGCCGGCCUGAGAGGGUGGACGGCCACAGUGGGACUGAGAUACGGCCCAGACUCCUACGGGAGGCAGCAGGGGGGAAGAUUGCACAAUGGGCGCAAGCCUGAUGCAGAGACGCCGCGUGGGGGAGGACGGCCUUCGGGUUGGAAACUCCUUUCGCUAGGGACGAAGCUUUUUGUGACGGUACCUAGAUAAGAAGCACCGGCUAACUACGUG
rnacentral:rRNA from 1 species